rnacentral:lncRNA from 1 species
AUUCUCUUAAGGCUAUAGAGUAAAAGAUCUUUAAGGCUAUAAUGCACAAAAGGUGUUUCUAUAUCAAUUUAUAUAGAAAAAAUAUUUGGGAUUUUUCAAUAAAAAAUUAUAUUGAAAUUGACACGUGGACCCCUUAGGGCAGACAUCCAAUCCGGUUUGAGUGUCUUACAAAAUGGACAUGCACAUUCAGUGUCAACAUAGAAUACAUCCGCAAAUCCAAAUAGACAUCGACUUCCCAUGUCCAUAGGCAUGUCUUAUAUGUUGACACACAUGUCUAGUGUGUUAGCGUAUUGGAUUCUAAUGCAUUAGGAUUGUAAUGUAGAAACACACAAGUACUACUCAAGAAGUAAAUGAUAAUCAUUUUAGUAAAAGAUAUAUUGGGACUGGUAACACACUUCAUUCUCAUGACAAGGCCACAGCCAUAUGUAGUUACAGCCACUAGACUCUCACAUAAACUAUUGACAAAAUGAAAAACUGCAUCUUCAAACUGACUUGAAAUACUUGUGGAGAAGAUAAAAACAAUGCGAUAGGACUCAGGAGAGCUAUGCAAUUUGAUUGUUAUUUACAGAAGUCUAAGAGAGUUAUCAAUCACAAUGUCUUUAUUCCUCCCUUUCAUGAAACCAAGCAAAUCAUUAAAAUAAGGACAACUGUUAAAAGAAGUCCUAUUUUUCAAGAAAUUCGCAAUAUACCAAAACUUUCAAAAAUCUACAUGCAUAUCCAUUUUUUUAUGAUUUAUAUUAUUUUACCAAAACUUCCCUUCAACGGACCUAUCCAUCAUGGCUCUACUAGGACCGUGAUGAUCAUCACGUUCCCAAUAGAACUGUGAUGGGCCAUCACGGUUCUACUAGAACUGUGAGAUCCCUUUAGCCCGCGUAGCCCCAAUUGGGCCCUUGGACACAAAUAAAACAUUUCCAAACCCAAAAAAAACUAUAAAAUAAAAAAAUAAAAAAAAAAGGAAACCUUUUCUUGUUCAUACAUAUACUAGAAACGAAAGAAUAUAAAUAAAAUAAAAAUUAAUAACAAAACUUAUCAUCAACUUCCACAUGAAAACCCCAUAAUAUUAGUAAACAUAUAUCUUUUAACAGAGAUCUUUCUCCUGUUAUAUCACAACCAGUGAUUGCAAUAUCGAACCGGAACAGUUAACCGGACAUGGGCCCAGAAGCGAUUUAACCGGCCUAACCGGUAAACCGGCAGAUUCAACCGCUCUAACCAAGCAAGUUUCGAACGAUAAAAAAAGUGUUGAAAGCAAUAAAAAAUAUACAAAAUAAAUCUACUAAAUAUAAAAAGCAUAUCAAGAAUGUGAUUAAAACAAAACGUACUCCAAUGAAGCUGAAAAUUAAUGAAAAAAAUGGAUUUUAAUGAAUCUAUUUGUGCCUAAGGUUUUUUAAAAUUUUUUGAAAAAGAUUAGAAAAUAUAAAAUUGAGUAUCAAUGACCAAAAAAAGUUUUAAUCUUUACCAUAAUGUAAAGCAUAUUAAAAUAGUGUUAAAAAAAUCGACAUGACCAACUCUUUUUUUAAAAGAAAAUGAAGAAAAAAUUAAGUUAUAUAUAAUAUAGGCGCUUUUUUUAUCAACUUAGUAAGAAAUGGCAUAGUGGUUAGUGAAUAAAGGACUUCUUUAAGAGAGGAUUCUAGUUCGAUUCCAAUGGGCAAGUAAUUUAUUGGCACCAACGAAAUGAAUUCUUAAAAGUAUUGGUUAGUGGGUAAAGGACUUCUUUAAGAGAGGAUUCUAGUUCGAUUCCAAUGGGCAAGUAAUUUUUUUGAACCAACGAAAUGAAUUCUUAAAAGAAAACCCUGGCGGCGGGAUCCGAACCAUAAUUCAUAUAAAAUUUAAUCAUCAAAGCUAACCAAUAAACCAUUCUAAUGUAUUUGAUAUAAAUUUGAAGUAGUAUUUUAUUUAAAGUUUAAAAUAUUGGUUGAUCACCAAACCGCCCAAAACCGGAACCAAUCACUGCCCAGUUCCGAUCUAACCGGUCGGCUAGCGAUUAGAUCAGCCGGUUUUGCGCACACUGAUCACAACAGAACCCAAAAUCAAUUAAAAAAAAGGAAACAUAAAUCAAAUGUUUAAUAAAAAUUUCCUCUCAGCAUCCAUUAGAGAGAGAUCAUUCAUGCAUC